GAUGAACGCUGGCGGCGUGCCUAAUACAUGCAAGUCGAGCGAACAGACGAGGAGCUUGCUCCUCUGACGUUAGCGGCGGACGAGUGAGUAACACGUGGAUAACCUACCUAUAAGACUGGGAUAACUUCUGGAAACCGGAGCUAAUACCGGAUAAUAUAUUGAACCGCAUGGUUCCAUAGUGAAAGACGGUUUUGCUGUCACUUAUAUAUGGAUCCGCGCCGCAUUAGCUAGUUGGUAAGGUAACGGCUUACCAAGGCGACGAUGCGUAGCCGACCUGAGAGGGUGAUCGGCCACACUAGAACGGGGACAGGGUCCAGACUACUAAGGGAGGCAGCAGUAGGGAAUCUGACGCAAUGGGCGAAAGCCUGACGGAGCAAGGCCGCGUGAGUGAUGAAGGUCUUCGGAUCGUAAAAAUCUGUUAUUAGGGAAGAACAAAUGUGUAAGUAAAUAUGCACGUCUUGACGGUACCUAAUCAGAAAGCCACGGCUAACUACGUG
rnacentral:rRNA from 1 species